GCAGCACGUGCUCCGCCCUCGGGGCGGGAGGGGUCGCCGCGGAGGCGCCUGUGUCGUGCCCGAAGCUGUGGCUGUCGGAACGUGCUCGAGCAGAAGUUUAUUCUGUUGGAUCAUCUGACUUCCAGUCUGACUGAAUUUCUGGCCUGGUCUCAAAACUUUGUUUUCAUUCAAUCCACUAAUGGCAAUUGCCUUUUGCAACUGUUAUUUUGCCUCUCAAUCCAGCCCUUAGUGUUUUUCCGUAUGCCAUUGCUUGUGUGUAGAACUUGAUUCUCAAAUAUUCAGUAGAGGCAGUAUACUAUCUCAUGUGACAUUCUUCUCAAAAGCAAAAAUCUGUUGUAAUUUUUGCUAAACAUUAGAACUGCUGUAGUGGGUCAGACCAAUAGUCCAUCUAGUCCAGUAUCCUGCCGUCUGACAGUGUCCAGGGCCAGGUGCUUCAGAGGGAAUGAACGGAAUAGGCAAUCACUGAGUGAACCAUCCCUUUAUCCACUCCCAGCAUCUGGUAGUCGGAGGUUUAGGGAGACCCGCAGCAUGGGGAUGCAUCCCUGAUUAUCUUGGCUAAUAGCUGAUGCACCUAUCCUGAGGAACUGACCCUCACUGGGGAGUAAGGGUUGCCCUCACCAGUUCAGCAUACACUCCACACAGUGCAUGGCUCCUUUGGGGUGCUAAGUAUAGCUGGCAGUGCCUCCUGCCCCUACCCGUUUGCCAUCAGGGUAUUUAGGCAGCAGCAACAUUAUGGCUUCCAUAUGAAUGGGUGUGUUUGCGGGAGGGAAAGGACUUCUUGGCCCUCUUCUCACCUCCACCUCUGUGUGAUGGCAGCCAUAUUUUGACCUGUAAUAGAUAGGAACUGCUUCUAUCAGGAAAAAUUCAGGUGAGCAUAGAUAGCUCUCAGUAAGGGAAAUAGGAAAUCCAAAAUACUUCUCUCUCCUUUCUACCCAGCCAGAGACUAAAAUACACCUGCAUGGAGACAAACCCAUCUGGAUCAUCUUUACCUUACUGACAUCAAAAUCUCUCUCUGAACAAGCCCCUUCAUCUCCAAUGAGAUAUUACCCCAGGAGCUUGCUGGAAUCUAGCCUCCCUUUGAUCAGAAACCUUUGUCAGUCAAGGCAAUAGGACAAGUGCAUUGCUGCCUGUGGCUGCCUGCUGAGUUGAUGAAAUGUAAUGGUCAGAGAUUGCACUAACAUAGAAGUAUGUUGAAGGCAAACCCUAAGAAAAUUAAGAGUUUAAAUUAUCCUCCACAUGUCCCGCGUCCCACUAAAAUUAAUCCAACCCACAGGUAAUUUGGGCAGAAAUGUCAAUGUCAGGAUGGCACAGUAAAUGAAGCUGCAGAAUAAAUGAUGUUUAAAUGAA